ensembl:lncRNA
GACGACUUUAUAAUAAAUGAAGUGAGUUAAAGCAACCCGGGAUUGGACAACUUUCUUCGAGAAUAUGCAACAUAGAUGGUGACCCUGACGUUUGGAAGGAAGUCCCUAGAAUCCCGGCGGGCGCGACGCUAAAACAACUUCAACAGGCCACACACGUCUGAGUGUUCUGAGGUGGUAACGAUGGGGCUCAUGGGGAGGCCCCGGGAGAGUUGUCAUUCGCGGGCUCACACGGGGAGAAAUCGGGUAGGUCGAAGCAAAAAGUUCCAGAACCAGAUGCAGACACACCCGGAGCCUACAAACUACCACCGCCGAGCAAGGACUAACAGUCACAUGAGGAGAUCAAAUAACAGCAGGAUUUGAAUCGCACCGGAUGGGUUGGUGGCCAGGGCGCUGGUAUGAUUACAAUCCCUCAGGCCACCUGUUGCUGACACGACGACGACGGAGAACCUGUUUGGAGGCUCCCAUGAUGUAGGAGUAACCUCUCUGAGUUGAGCCCUUGACAAGGAGGGACGA